rnacentral:tRNA from 1 species
GGAGAGGUGCCCGAGCGGCUGAAGGGGUACGCCUGGAGAGCGUAAAGGUGCCAAAAGCGCCUCGAGGGUUCGAAUCCCUCCCUCUCCG